AUUGAACGCUGGCGGCAUGCUUUACACAUGCAAGUCGAACGGUAACAGGGUGCUUGCACCGCUGACGAGUGGCGAACGGGUGAGUAAUGCGUCGGAACGUGCCGAGUAGUGGGGGAUAACGCAGCGAAAGUUGUGCUAAUACCGCAUACGUACUGAGGUAGAAAGUGGGGGACCUUCGGGCCUCACGCUAUUCGAGCGGCCGACGUCUGAUUAGCUAGUAGGUGAGGUAAAGGCUCACCUAGGCGACGAUCAGUAGCGGGUCUGAGAGGAUGAUCCGCCACACUGGGACUGAGACACGGCCCAGACUCCUACGGGAGGCAGCAGUGGGGAAUCUUGCGCAAUGCACGAAAGUGUGACGCAGCAACGCCGCGUGCGGGAAGAAGGUCUUCGGAUCGUAAACCGCUUUCAGUUGGGACGAGGGUUACACGGUGAAUAGCCGGCGUAACUGACGGUACCUUCAGAAGAAGCCCCGGCUAACUACGUGCCAGCCGCCGCAGUAAGAC
rnacentral:rRNA from 1 species